rnacentral:rRNA from 1 species
AACGAACGCUGGCGGCAGGCCUAACACAUGCAAGUCGAACGUGAAGCCACCUUCGGGUGGUGGAAAGUGGCAGACGGGUGAGUAACGCGUGGGAACGUGCCUUUCGGUUCGGAAUAACCCAGGGAAACUUGGGCUAAUACCGGAUACGCCCUUCGGGGGAAAGAUCAUCGCCGAAAGAUCGGCCCGCGUCGGAUUAGCUAGUUGGUAGGGUAAUGGCCUACCAAGGCGACGAUCCGUAGCUGGUCUGAGAGGAUGACCAGCCACACUGGGACUGAGACACGGCCCAGACUCCUACGGGAGGCAGCAGUGGGGAAUAUUGGACAAUGGGCGAAAGCCUGAUCCAGCCAUGCCGCGUGGGUGAAGAAGGCCUUAGGGUUGUAAACCCCUUUCAGCGGGGAAGAUAAUGACGGUACCCGCAGAAGAAGCCCCGGCUAACUCCGUGCCAGCCGCCGCCGUAA